rnacentral:misc_RNA from 1 species
CUUCUUCUUCUUCUUCUUCUAUGCACCGUGUGAAACCCCUUUAUUUGUUCUAUCUUUAAGAGCUGCUUGCCGUGAACUGCGGUUGCUUAUUUGCGGCCUACCUACUUAAAGCUUUCGAAAUUCUUCCUCGAUUAGCUGUCGGCGAGCAUCGACAUUUUUGUUGCCUGGCACCGUCAAAGCCACGAUUGUAGCUAUUGACCAGUGUGAUUCAAUGGAGAAAUCAGCGGUUGUCAAGGACAAUUAUCUCAACGGGAAUCAAUUUCACUCGUUUUCUUCUUCCUCUGCUUCUCUUAGAGACGUUAACUACAGGUCUUCUUCCUCUCUCUUUCUCUAAGUGAAGAUAAGGAUCCAUUUUAUAGUGAUUAGUUGUUUUUCUUGUUGGGAUUUGCGGAAAGUAAUUCAAUUAUAUGAAAGAAACUGAUUUUCUAUGUGGGUUUUUGUAUUUGGUUGAUUUCAAAUUGGUUAAUUUGAAUUUGUUAUCUUUUGCAUAUAGGAACCAAUGAUUAUAUUCACUUGGUGAUCUUAUUUGGGCUUGUUUGCAAUACUUGAAUUGGUUGUUCUUAGUUUGAAUUAGAUAGGUACUUGAUAAAGGGGGUGUGUGUGUGUGUUUUUAAAUAUAUUUGAUUAAUAUUUAUAUUUAAUUUCUAAACUCGAGAAUGAGAAGUAUUUCCAAGUUUAUAUAGAGAAAUGAAUUUUAUGGGUUAGUGAUAGAGAGCUAGAAAUUCUUAAGUUUGAAACUUCAGUUAUGUGAUAUGUUCUUGUGGUACACUAUAUUUUGCAAACUCACAGGAGGACCCAAAUUGAAUGAGCUGGCCCGCCUUGUACAUGUGGGAUUGAAUCUGUUGAUUCAUUUAGUUCUAUCAUAAAGUUAUGUAUCUUGAAAGUCAAGUGUAGUUUCAUUAUCCUUCAUAUUUUCUGGUGGUUUGUGAAUGACGGUCGACAAUGAUUUUGUUGUAGUGGUUAGGCAGCAUGGAAACAAUUGUCUCUGUAAUUUUAGCUUUUCUGCCCCAUUUAGUGUCUGUUGUUGUGACUGAUUGACACAUUGACUUUGCAACACCGCCUGAUUAAUGGAGUGGGUGGCAAAACAUGUAUUUGGCCACUCGAAUCAUUUGAAUAGUGAAUAUUGUGGUAAAUUAGGAUGAGUUGCAAAUCGAUUCUGAUGCUGCUUUUAAAUGCUUCCAUCAAUUGCACCAUUCUGAUUCAUAUACAAGUUAUCUACAAUUUGUCGCUGUCGUAGACAUGGUUGCAAAAUAAGUCUCAGAUCAAUUUCUGAUAUUCGUUCACACCUUGUUUUGAAUGACAAAUAGAGUGAUGAAGAAAUGCCAAGAAAGACUAAUAAACUUACCCUUGUUGAAUAACAUUAACAAAUUGGUGUGCAUUUUCAUUUCUUAUAGUUUUCUGUACUCUCUCUAUUGGAUUCUUGAGGUUUUGGUUGUUUCAACAUGGGUCAUUUUUCUGGAACCUGAAUAGUGAAGAUCUUUGAUACAGCUGUGGCAGUUGUGGAUAUGAGUUGAACUUAAGCUCCUCCAAUCGAAACACCUCAACUAUUGGCUCUAAAUAUGGGAAAUCAAUAAAACGAGGGAUAAUCUCAUUCUUUGACAUUGAUGAGAGCAGAUUUACUCAGGCUGAAGAAUUCCAAUGUAUUCCUAACUUUUCGAAAAAUUCCUGGGGUUUGUUUCGCCGGAGAACCAAACUUCUUUGCCGUAAAUGUGGCAAUAAUAUUGGAAUUGCUUAUGAAGAUGAAACUUCUGCUUAUCCACUUGUAUCAGAUGGUUCAGAUUUAUCGUCAGUUAAUGGAUCCAAACAUCAAAAAUAUGAUGUUAAAAUCCGUGCAUUACAGCCCUCAUCUGUUGAUCGGUCUGGCAUUCGACUUUCUGUAUAGUGUGUUGCAGCCAGUCUUUGAAUAAUUUAUGUUAAUUGAAUUUGAAGGGUAUCAAUCACUCAAUAACUAUAGCAAAAAUUCUCUUGUGAUAUAUUCAGGUAUACAUGUUUUGAGUCCUCUUUUAUUUUUUGUUUAUGCAAUUAUCUUCAUUUUUUAGAUGUUUAGUUGGUGCUUGUAAAGAGCAGUAUUAGGAAAUGAACUAAAAAGAAAGCAAGUGUGGAGUCUGAAGGGAGUUGAGGGGUUGAGGAAAGUUCAUAAACCCUUUUGAGAUUUUAUUUGUAUAAUAAUUGUGUGAUAUCUGGAAUUUUUCUAAAUGAAUGAGUAGAUUUUGGA